rnacentral:rRNA from 1 species
GACGAACGCUGGCGGCGUGCUUAACACAUGCAAGUCGAACGGAAAGGCCCUGCUUUUGUGGGGUGCUCGAGUGGCGAACGGGUGAGUAACACGUGAGUAACCUGCCCUUGACUUUGGGAUAACUUCAGGAAACUGGGGCUAAUACCGGAUAGGAGCUCCUGCUGCAUGGUGGGGGUUGGAAAGUUUCGGCGGUUGGGGAUGGACUCGCGGCUUAUCAGCUUGUUGGUGGGGUAGUGGCUUACCAAGGCUUUGACGGGUAGCCGGCCUGAGAGGGUGACCGGCCACAUUGGGACUGGGAUCCGGCCCAGACUCCUACGGGAGGCAGCAGUGGGGAAUAUUGCACAGUGGGCGGAAGCCUGACGCAGCAACGCCGCGUGCGGGAUGACGGCCUUCGGUUUGUAAACCGCUUUCGCCUGUGACGAAGCGUGAGUGGCGGUAAUGGGUAAAGAAGCACCGGCUAACUACGUG